rnacentral:rRNA from 1 species
GAUGAACGCUGGCGGCGUGCCUAAUACAUGCCAGUCGAGCGAACGGACGAGAAGCUUGCUUUUCUGAUGUUAGCGGCGGACGGGUGAGUAACACGUGGAUAACCUACCUAUAAGACUGGGAUAACUUCGGGAAACCGGAGCUAAUACCGGAUAAUAUUUUGAACCGCAUGGUUCAAAAGUGAAAGACGGUCUUGCUGUCACUUAUAGAUGGAUCCGCGCUGCAUUAGCUAGUUGGUAAGGUAACGGCUUACCAAGGCAACGAUGCAUAGACGACCUGUGAGGGUGGUCGGCCACCCUGGAACUGAGACACGGUCCAGGCUCCUACGGGAGGCAGCAGUAGGGAAUCGGCCGCAAUGGGCGAAAGCCUGACGGAGCAACGCCGCGUGAGUGAUGAAGGUCUUCGGAUCGGAAAACUCUGUUAUUAGGGAAGAACAGAUGUGUAAGUAACUGUGCACAUCUUGACGGUACCUAAUCAGAAAGCCACGGCUAACUACGUG